rnacentral:rRNA from 1 species
CCUACGGGUGGCAGCAGUGAGGAAUAUUGGUCAAUGGGCGCUAGCCUGAACCAGCCAAGUAGCGUGAAGGAUGACUGCCCUAUGGGUUGUAAACUUCUUUUAUAUGGGAAUAAAGUGAAGUAGGUAUACUGCUUUGCAUGUACCUUAUGAAUAAGGAUCGGCUAACUCCGUGCCAGCAGCCGCGGUAAUACGGAGGAUCCGAGCGUUAUCCGGAGUUAUUGGGUUUAAAGGGAGCGUAGGCGGGUUGUUAAGUCAGUUGUGAAAGUUUGCGGCUGAACCGUAAAAUUGCAGUUGAUACUGGCAGCCUUGCGUACAUUAGUGGUCGGCGGAAUUCGUGGUGUAGCGGUGAGAUGCUUAGAUAUCACGAAGAACUCCGAUUGCGCAGGCAGCCUGCUGGACUGUAACUGACGCUGCUGCUCGAACGUGUGGGUAUCAAACAGGAUUAGAUACCCGAGUAGUC